GAUGGUAAAACUGGUUGGUGUUGUGUCCCUGGGAAACUUGUGUGGUCUGGAGUCUACGGAAGGCAUCUGACUAAUGUCUGCCUGUCUCUUUUCAAGGCAGGGAAAUGGAAGGCCUCUCAGGAACUGCGGUGACCCGUUGAAUGGGACCUUGGCAGCAGCCAUUAGUGCUCACGAGCAUCCUCAUGCUCCUCGUCUUCCUGGGUGUGCAGUGAGACCUCAGUAUUGUGUUUUCUCGCCACCUUUGCAUUUAGAUCUGACCAUAGCGUCAAGCUCUGGCCAUGGGCUGUGUCUGCAUCACUACAAACCCUGUCUAGACAAACCUCCUAUGCAUGAACUUCGCUCUCUCAUCUGCUUGCUGAUAAGGAUGGUCCGUGAUGUUCCCCAGGAGGACAGAACCAGAAGAAAGAAGUCAAGGACCCUGCCUGGAAAACAAGGUGGUGGUGGGAGGUACAGGCAGAUCUGCACCCAGGUGGAGAACAAAGCUGACCAAUCAUGGGCCUUCAAGGAUGCGAAAAUUCCCAGAAGUCCAAAAUCUUCUUUCACUGAUGUGAUGAGGAUUCCCCCAAAGCUCUGCUCUUGACCAGAGUUACAGGUGUGACUGCUGACCGUGAUUAAACGCAGAUGCCAGACUACCCAAGAGAACAAAGGCUUAUGAACUCUGCAGCUAAUUGGAGCCAGAUACCUGGACCUCAUGUCUCAAGUAUACUCAGAUCUCAAUCAACAAACACAGGUCAAGCACUGCCCUGGUCCUGGGACACAGCAGUGAACAAAAUCAAUUUACUCUCCUGACACUUCCACUUACUGGUCAGAAAAAAAACACACGGUCUACCAAUUGCUGUUCAGGGAAUGCUGUGGAAGGAAAACCAGGAUGCGGGAGAGCAGCCUCCAGGCUGUUGCCAUAGCCCUGGAGAGAGGGCAGCUGACCGGAGCAGAAGGAGCAGUGAAGAUGAGUGGACGUGAGCGAGUUCCCUGUUCAGUGUCAAGGUGUCUCCACUGGGCUUGGUAAUGGACGUGAAGGGGAGGGUGGGGAGAGACGGAGAGCCAGGCAUCGGGGCUGACCAGCUGCUCCCUGUCAGGCAUGAGCAAUGAGAGAAUAAAAUGACCAUUGAUCUCAGUGGCAAAUGCUGGAGAAAAACCACAUUAGCAGGCAGGACGGUGGGCAGGUGGGGAGUUCAAAGGUUCAGGCUGCAGAAACACUCCCUUGGAGAUGACUAAGAAAGAUCCAAGGGCAGAAGUCAAAGAGGGGGUUGUGCAUACAGGCCUGGAGCCCAGGAGGACACCCCAGGGAGGAGAUGGGAGAUGACAGGAUGGAGAUGCUGCUGAAACCACAGGAAUACAUGAGAUUGCUUAACCAGAGGGUGCAGACCAGUGAGGGAAGUGUGCAGUCCAAGAAAUGAGACAAGCCUACACCAGAUCUGGCAGGUCAACCUUCAAUUCCAGCAAAUUAACUUGUUUUUCUCUUUAACCAGAGACGUGAGCAUUUGAAUGGGAGCUGUCGGUGCCUGGAUUUGACAAAAUGCCUGGAGACUGAGUGUCUUGGGCACACACUGAAGCUCAGAAGAGCUGGUCAGUCACCUGGACACUGGUUCUUCUAGUUGCAAAAGGGAGAUGAUCAGCAAUUUUGGUGAUAAGGGACAGGGUCAGGGCUUGAGUGCAUGGGGAUCUUAUUAAGCCAAUUCUAUCAAAUCCUCUGUGCAUGGAGAGGUUGAUCAGGAGACAGAGAAAAAGAACAAACCAUAGUGACUGGGGUCAGAGACAGAGGAGCUAGGCCUAGCAGCCCCCUGGAAAUGUGAAGGCUUUUUGAAUUCCAGUCUAUUUGUGGUGUAUAGGAAUCUCCCUUUUCCCUUCAGCUAAUCCAAAGCUUUGAUAGUAGCAGGCACAAGAGUGAUCUAACACCAAAAGUAGCAAAUGUUCUCUUUAAGAGAAAAGCAAGCCAGUCUCAAAUUAGAAGAGUCAUAAAAAUAUCAGUUACUAUAACAUGCACAUGUAUUUGAUGCAAAUUCUCUCUUUCUCUCAACACAGGAGACUUAUUUUGGAGCUUACAAUUAGUUUGCAUUUCCUGGACAUGCUCCAGUCUGGCCCAGAGACGGGGCGCAGUGAAGAUCUACUUUGGGAAUGAACAGAAAAGAUUUUUCUGAAUGUGCAAGAACUUCCUUAGAGCAAACAUACUAAAAAUUGGGAUUUGAGUUGGGGAGAAUUUACCAGUCACAUACUUGGAUUGGGACAGGGUUAUAGUAAUCUAUGUUGGCACCAAAGCUGAGGAGCUGGUGUCUGGAGGUGGGGAGCGUCAGAGAAACUGGGUGGGGAAAGAGCUGAGCUGCUCUUUUGUGAUGUUGGGCUUCUGCAGAGAAUGCUCUGGGGUGAAGUACGAAAUGGGGAUCUCCUGAGCUGUGGAGUCACUGAUGUCCUUACAGCCACAGCUUCAGGGUCUAGCUUGCAGGUGACUGCCCUGUUUCUGCCUGGCCUGGCUCCAUCUCUUCCAUGUCAGGCUCCAGACAGCCACAUGGGAAUAACACCAGUGGAGUUUGUUCACUGGGAUCCUUAACAAGCAUGUGCCAAAACAGUAAGAGAUGGGUCUAAAUGGCGGUGGAUUACGAGUUCUGUUUACCUUGUGAUCUCCCAAUAUAUCGUGAUCUCAAGGCGAAGGGAGAGGGAACAAUUGGUGGGCACAGUCCCCUUCUUCCACCCUGGUGGGGAUGUGCUCUUUUCUUCCUAAUUAUGCAAGGUCAGUAGGGCGUGCCACACACCGAGGUGGGUCCGAGGAGAGGAAAUCGCUCCAAAAUGCCCGUACUGAUUACAGUGGCAGCAGUAGGAAUGCCAUGCUAAGAGCAAGAGCAAAGAUCUUCCUUCUCCCUUCCCUUGCCUCUGUUCUGACUCCAGGUGUGCACAUUUGCUCAGAGUGGGGAGGAGUUUGGGGAUGAACCUUUCCAUCAAGUGAAACCGAGAUGGGCCGGGUCUAAACUGCAGCUUCUGGGAUGGAACCUUGCUAGAGGGCGGCCUCCAAGGAGCAACUAAUGCUUUUAAAGUUCCGGACAGGAGAAAAGGAAGGUGGAAUGGAGAUGGACAGAGUUGCAAGGUGCCCGCUCAUGCAAAUUGAGGGAGGUGACUGGGCAUCUGUUUCAGAGUCUCCAAACCAUCCACCAACAUUGCAAAGCCCAGCAGCAUGCUGUCCUGUUGAGAAACCUGCUCCAACCAGAGCACACGGAGGGCAUUUUCUGGAUGGCUGUAGCUGGAUUCCAUGUUGCUAACAGUCUUGCUCCAACCUGACUGCAGGUUCUGGUACCCAUGCAGGGAAUAAUAAGGAGUGCAACUGUGUUCCAAGACCUUUCAUUUGGUGCCAUAAAUCAUUAAAAAUGGAUGUGGGAUUUGUAAAGUGUCUCCUGAAUUCUAAAUAUCAACAGACAGCCCAGUUCUGCCUCCUUGGGGAGAAGAAAGGAAGAUUUUGGCAAAAUGUCUUGGAAAUAACUGACUUCUCUUAUUGCCUUCAUUUUGAUGAGUUAAUAUGUGUUUAUACACAUAUUGAAUUACACUUAAAUAAAUGGAAAUUUUAAA